CUACGGUACGUCAAGGUGAUACCUGCAUCAAAUGACUACAUAUUCGAUUUAUGAAAAGAUGAUAAAAUACUGGCAGUUUUGAAGCAUAUUUUUUUUUAAAUACCUUUAUAUUU